ensembl:lncRNA
GCUGAAAGAUGAGGACCUGUUUCUGUUAGACCCUGACACGCCCACGCUUGUUCCCCUGCUCUGUCCUCCCAAGGCGAUCAUGGCCCUUUGGGUCUCUCUCACCUGUAACAGGUGCUGUCUCCUCAGGCCUGGUGUGAGCCUAGUAUGACCUCCUGGAUCCUAGAAACACUCACACAGUGCGUGGCCCAUGGCGGGUGCUCAAUAACGAAGGACAGGCCUUCGUUGAUAAAUACCAUUGAAUGGUUCAGCUUGCAGGAUCUUAGAUGCCUGAGGACCAGCGACUGAAGCCUGGAACUCUAAUCAAUAGCCUCCAGGACGUCCUCUCUGGACUCAAAUUCUGCAACUCUGACCAAGCCGAUUCUUUACUGCUGAGCUACCAGGGAAGCCUAAGACACACCCUGCGGACACUCCACUGCGGAUGGAACCCAGGACCUCCUAGUGACCUGGACUUGCUGUUUUCUCGUCUUCUGUGUAGUCUGCUGGGGAACUGAUGACCCCACUGUGCCUGGUGAACAGCCAGAGCAACACCCAGGGGUGUGGGGACAGCGAGUGACUCUCCAG